UGGGGAAUCUUGCACAAUGGGGGAAACCCUGAUGCAGCGACGCCGCGUGAGCGAUGAAGGUUUUCGAAUCGUAAAGCUUUGUCCUAUGGGAAGAUAAUGACGGUACCAUGGGAGGAAGCCCCGGCUAACUACGUGCCAGCAGCCGCGGUAAUACGUAGGGGGCGAGCGUUGUCCGGAAUUACUGGGCGUAAAGGGUUCGCAGGCGGCAUGGCAAGUCCGAUGUAAAAGGCGAAGGCUCAACCUUCGUAAGCAUCGGAAACUGUCAAGCUUGAGUGAAGGAGAGGCAAGUGGAAUUCCUAGUGUAGCGGUGGAAUGCGUAGAUAUUAGGAGGAAUACCGGUGGCGAAGGCGACUUGCUGGACUUCAACUGACGCUGAGGAACGAAAGCGUGGGUAGCAAACAGG
rnacentral:rRNA from 1 species